rnacentral:rRNA from 1 species
GAUGAACGCUGGCGGCGUGCCUAAUACAUGCAAGUCGAGCGAACAGACGAGGAGCUUGCUCCUCUGACGUUAGCGGCGGACGGGUGAGUAACACGUGGAUAACCUACCUAUAAGACUGGGAUAACUUCGGGAAACCGGAGCUAAUACCGGAUAAUAUAUUGAACCGCAUGGUUCAAUAGUGAAAGACGGUUUUGCUGUCACUUAUAGAUGGAUCCGCGCCGCAUUAGCUAGUUGGUAAGGUAACGGCUUACCAAGGCAACGAUGCGUAGCCGACCUGAGAGGGUGAUCGGCCACACUGGAACUGAGACACGGUCCAGACUCCUACGGGAGGCAGCAGUAGGUAAUCUUCCGCAAUGGGCGAAAGCCUGACGGAGCAACGCCGCGUGAGUGAUGAAGGUCUUCGGAUCGUAAAACUCUGUUAUUAGGGAAGAACAAAUGUGUAAGUAACUAUGCACGUCUUGACGGUACCUAAUCAGAAGGCCACGGCUAACUACGUG